GUUACAAAUAAAUUAUUUAGAUAGUGUGGUCAAAGAAGGCCUGAGGGGAUGCAUGUAAACUGGGACAGAAAAAAUUCAUAGGAGUUUGCUAUAAAAGCAAGAAAAGGAAUGUUCCAGAGGAGAGAGAACAGUAUGUACACAAUCUGCAAGAAGAGAAAGAGCUGGGGUGUGUACUUGGGAAGCUGAAUACAGGCAGAUUUGACUGGAACUUGUAAGUCAGGACACAGCAAGAAGAUGGCCAUCUGUGAACCAGAAGGAGAGCCCUCAGCAGAACCCAACCAUGCUGGUACCGAACCUUGGACUUCUCAGGCUUCAGACUUGUGCCACAUCACCUCUGCUUCUGCAGUCCGUUCUGCCUGGAACGUUUCCUCGGAUGGUCACAUGACUGCUUCCUUCACUCAAGUGUCUUCACAGAUGCUACUCUUCAAGAAGGCUAUCCCCAUCAUCUUCGUACUUCUCAGUCUCUAUUCUUUUCUCCCUAUUUCUUCAUAGAAUUUAUCCUUACUUGGCCUUUUGUAAGACAUUAAUUAAUUAGUUAGUUAAUUUUUUGUUUGUCUCUACCACUAGGAUGUGAAGCCUAUAUUGGUAGAAAAUUUUCUCCUUGGUUCACU
rnacentral:lncRNA from 13 species